rnacentral:rRNA from 1 species
AACGAACGCUGGCGGCAUGCCUAACACAUGCAAGUCGAACGAGACCUUCGGGUCUAGUGGCGCACGGGUGCGUAACGCGUGGGAAUCUGCCCUUGGGUUCGGAAUAACAGUUGGAAACGACUGCUAAUACCGGAUGAUGACGUAAGUCCAAAGAUUUAUCGCCCAAGGAUGAGCCCGCGUAGGAUUAGCUAGUUGGUGAGGUAAAGGCUCACCAAGGCGACGAUCCUUAGCUGGUCUGAGAGGAUGAUCAGCCACACUGGGACUGAGACACGGCCCAGACUGCUACGGGAGGGAGCAGUGGGGAAUAUUGGACGAGGGGCGAAAGCCUGAUCCAGCAAUGCCGGGUGAGUGAUGAAGGCCUUAGGGUUGUAAAGCUCUUUUACCCGGGAUGAUAAUGACAGUACCGGGAGAAUAAGCUCCGGCUAACUCCGUG